rnacentral:rRNA from 2 species
UACGAAGGAUGCAAGCGUUAUCCGGAUUUAUUGGGUUUAAAGGGUGCGUAGGCGGUCUUAUAAGUCAGUGGUGAAAUCUUGUCGCUUAACGACAAACGUGCCAUUGAUACUGUAGGACUUGAGUACAGAUGCCGUUGGCGGAAUGUGUCAUGUAGCGGUGAAAUGCAUAGAUAUGACACAGAACACCGAUUGCGAAGGCAGCUGACGAAACUGUAACUGACGCUGAUGCACGAAAGCGUGGGGAUCAAACAGG